GUCUAAAAUGGAAGUGUUUAACACCUGGGCAAUCCAAAGCUAGUUGUCAGGUAGCAAUGAUUUUGAAAUUAUAUAAAUCACUUUAGUUUAUCUUUACAGAAGCUCAUCCAAAUUACAGCAAACGUCAAACAAGUUGGAUCAAAACAAAGCGAGGGAGUUUUGGAGGAAGUUUCGAGAAUGAGAUGAAGGAAAAGAAUUCUAUCUGAAAAGAGUUGCAGGUCAACACAGACUCAGCGCCGCUAUCACAACAAGGUCGCUAAGUUUGCCAUGAUUUUCGAUGUCCGUCUGCCGACUGUUUUUCAACCGUAAAGGGUGGCCUACAAGCCUGGUGACCGCUAUUGCCAAGAAAGCCAAAAGAACUAAAAACAGAUGCUUUGGUAGUUGAAUCGAAACAAAGAAUCAUUUAGAUAUUGUUCCACUCUUUGAAUUGAAGAAGAAAAAAAACUGGCUUUCCUUACUGGAGCUGUGAUAGUGUUAAGCUCAAGAAGUUGACUGAUAAACAAACUAUGAUGCUGGGAAGAAUUUAUACCUAGACGGAAAAGGUUACACCCUCUUCAGUAGAAAC